UACGUAGGGUGCAAGCGUUGUCCGGAAUUAUUGGGCGUAAAGAGCUCGUAGGCGGUUUGUCGCGUCUGCUGUGAAAACCCGAGGCUCAACCUCGGGCCUGCAGUGGGUACGGGCAGACUAGAGUGCGGUAGGGGAGAAUGGAAUUCCUGGUGUAGCGGUGGAAUGCGCAGAUAUCAGGAGGAACACCGAUGGCGAAGGCAGGUCUCUGGGCCGCAACUGACGCUGAGGAGCGAAAGCAUGGGGAGCGAACAGG
rnacentral:rRNA from 1 species